rnacentral:rRNA from 2 species
AAGCGGAGGAAAAGAAACUAACAAGGAUUCCCCUAGUAGCGGCGAGCGAAGCGGGAAAAGCUCAAAUUUGUAAUCUGGCGUCUACGACGUCCGAGUUGUAAUCUCGAGAAGUGUUUUCCGUGAUAGACCGCAUACAAGUCUCUUGGAACAGAGCGUCACAGUGGUGAGAACCCAGUACACGAUGCGGAUGCCUAUUACUUUGUGAUACACUUUCGAAGAGUCGAGUUGUUUGGGAAUGCAGCUCAAAUUGGGUGGUAAAUUCCAUCUAAAGCUAAAUAUUGGCGAGAGACCGAUAGCGAACAAGUACCGUGAGGGAAAGAUGAAAAGCACUUUGGAAAGAGAGUUAACAGUACGUGAAAUUGUUGGAAGGGAAACACAUGCAGUGAUACUUGCUAUUCGGGGCAACUCGAUUGGCAGGCCCGCAUCAGUUUUUCGGGGCGGAAAAGCAUAGAGAGAAGGUAGCAGUUUCGGCUGUGUUAUAGCUCUUUAUUGGAUUCGCCCUGGGGGACUGAGGAACGCAGCGUGCUUUUAGCAUGAGCUUCGGCUUAUCCACGCUUAGGAUGCGGGUUUAUGGCUGUAUAUGACCCGUCUUGAAACACGGACCAAGGAGUCUAACAUGCUUGCGAGUAUUUGGGUGUCAAACCCGGAUGCGCAAUGAAAGUGAAUGGAGGUGGGAAGCGCAAGCUGCACCAUCGACCGAUCUGGAUUUUUUAAGAUGGAUUUGAGUAAGAGCAAGUAUGUUGGGACCCGAAAGAUGGUGAACUAUGCCUGAAUAGGGCGAAGCCAGAGGAAACUCUGGUGGAGGCUCGUAGCGGUUCUGACGUGCAAAUCGAUCGUCAAAUUUGGGUAUAGGGGCGAAAGACUAAUCGAACCA